rnacentral:rRNA from 1 species
UACGGAGGGUCCAAGCGUUGUCCGGAAUCACUGGGUGUAAAGGGUGCGCAGGCGGGCUUAUAAGUCAGGGGUGAAAGCCACCGGCCUAACCGGUGAACUGCCCUUGAUACUGUAAGUCUUGAGUCCUGGAGAGGCUGUCGGAAUUCGUGGUGUAGCGGUGAAAUGCGUAGAUAUCAGAAGGAACACCGGUGGCGAAAGCGACUCUCUGGCUCGUAUCUGACGCUGAGGUGCGAAAGCUUGGGUAGCAAACAGG